CGGGGUGUAGCUCAGCUUGGUAGAGCGCUUGGUUCGGGACCAAGAGGUCGUAGGUUCGAAUCCUGUCACCCCGACCA
rnacentral:tRNA from 2 species